rnacentral:rRNA from 1 species
UUAACGAAUCGCAUGGCCUUGCGCCGGCGAUGGUUCAUUCAAAUUUCUGCCCUAUCAACUUUCGAUGGUAGGAUAGUGGCCUACCAUGGUGGCAACGGGUAACGGGGAAUUAGGGUUCGAUUCCGGAGAGGGAGCCUGAGAAACGGCUACCACAUCCAAGGAAGGCAGCAGGCGCGCAAAUUACCCAAUCCCGACACGGGGAGGUAGUGACAAUAAAUACUGAUACGGGGCUCUUUUGGGUCUCGUAAUUGGAAUGAGUACAAUCUAAAUCCCUUAACGAGGAACAAUUGGAGGGCAAGUCUGGUGCCAGCAGCCGCGGUAAUUCCAGCUCCAAUAGCGUAUAUUAAAGUUGUUGCAGUUAAAAAGCUCGUAGUUGAACCUUGGGUUCGGCCGGCCGGUCCGCCUCACCGCGAGUACUGUCCGGCCGUUCCUUUCCUUCUGGGGAAUCCCAUGGCCUUCACUGGCUGUGGGGGGAACCAGGACUUUUACUGUGAAAAAAUUAGAGUGUUCAAAGCAGGCCUUUGCUCGAAUACAUUAGCAUGGAAUAAUAGAAUAGGACGUGUGGUUCUAUUUUGUUGGUUUCUAGGACCGCCGUAAUGAUUAAUAGGGAUAGUCGGGGGCGUCAGUAUUCAGCUGUCAGAGGUGAAAUUCUUGGAUUUGCUGAAGACUAACUACUGCGAAAGCAUUCGCCAAGGAUGUUUUCAUUAAUCAGGGAACGAAAGUUAGGGGAUCGAA